rnacentral:lncRNA from 1 species
GGCCGAGGAGCUGAACGCCGUCAUCGUUUCUAUUGAGUGAGUAGCUACCGCUGGUCACAGCUCCAACUAAGAUUUCCGUUUUUAUUUUGUAUGUGUUCCUGUCUGUGUCUGUGGCUAUGUGCACCUGAACGCCGCUGCCCACAGAAGCCAGAAGAGUGUGUCACGUCCCUAGGACUGGAGUUGCGGGUGUUUGUAAGCUGCCCAGUAUGGGUGUUGGUACAAAACUCUGGUCCUUUGAAAGAGUACCAAGCACUCUGAGCUGCUGAGCCAUUGCUCCAGCCUCCAAUAGUCAUCAUCGUUAUUAACAAGAAAUGCUAAGUAACAGUCUAGUAAAUAAAAAUA